UCGGGAAUUUUGGGCAAUGGGCGAAAGCCUGACCCAGCAACGCCGCGUGAGGGAUGAAGUAUUUCGGUAUGUAAACCUCGAAAGAAUGGGAAGAAUAAAUGACGGUACCAUUUAUAAGCUCCGGCUAACUACGUGCCAGCAGCCGCGGUAAUACGUAGGGAGCAAGCGUUGUUCGGAUUUACUGGGCGUAAAGGGCGCGUAGGCGGCGCGGUAAGUCACUUGUGAAAUCUCUGAGCUUAACUCAGAACGGCCAAGUGAUACUGCUGAGCUAGAGUGCGGAAGAGGCAACCGGAAUUCUUGGUGUAGCGGUGAAAUGCGUAGAUAUCAAGAGGAACACCUGAGCCGAAGGCGGGUUGCUGCGCCGACACUGACGCUGAUGCGCGAAAGCCAGGGGAGCAAACG
rnacentral:rRNA from 1 species